rnacentral:sRNA from 1 species
AUCUGUAAAGGAAAAUAGUGCUAAGCCAUAGGUCAGGUAUGGGGGAACUGAGUUACAGAGGGUAACUACCACCAUUCUUCUCUCAUCCUUUAACUCAGGGGUCCCCAACCCCCCGUCCGUGGACUGGUACCAGUCCCUGGCCUGUUAGGAACCGGGCCGCACAGCAGGAGGUGAGCGGCAGGCUAGCGAGCCUCACCGCCUCCUUUCAGUUUUGAUGGCGACGACUUUGAUGAUGUGGAGGAGGAUGAAGGGCUAGAUGACUUGGAGAAUGCCGAAGAGGAAGGCCAGGAGAAUGUCGAGAUCCUCCCCUCUGGGGAGCGACCGCAGGCCAACCAGAAGCGAAUCACCACACCAUACAUGACCAAGUACGAGCGAGCCCGCGUGCUGGGCACCCGAGCACUCCAGAUUGCGAUGUGUGCCCCUGUGAUGGUGGAGCUGGAGGGGGAGACAGAUCCUCUGCUCAUUGCCAUGAAGGAACUCAACUACUUCCAGAAAGCAUUUGAGGAAGCACCAGUACAGGGAUAAGAGAUGAAGAGACAGGCCAGGUCAGG